rnacentral:RNase_P_RNA from 1 species
UGAGUCGGCCGGACGGCCGCGGCGUCUCGGCGUCGAGGAAAGUCCGGGCUCCGAAGGGCAAGGUGGUGGCUAACGGCCACCCGGGGCGACCCGCGGGACAGUGCCACAGAGAGCAGACCGCCGGUGCCUGGCGCCGGUAAGGGUGAAACGGUGGUGUAAGAGACCACCAGCGGGCCGGGUGACCGGUCCGGCUAGGUAAACCCCACCUGGAGCAAGUCCAGACAGUGCGCGUCACCAGGGCGGCCCGCCCGAGCGCACGGGUAGGACGCUAGAGGUCGUCGGUGACGGCGACCCCAGAUGGAUGGCCGUCGCGCGCCGCUCGCGGCGCGUCACAGGACCCGGCUUACAGGCCGGCUCAUCCC